rnacentral:rRNA from 1 species
AGUGAACGCUGGCGGUAGGCCUAACACAUGCAAGUCGAACGGCAGCACAGUAAGAGCUUGCUCUUACGGGUGGCGAGUGGCGGACGGGUGAGGAAUACAUCGGAAUCUACUUUUUCGUGGGGGAUAACGUAGGGAAACUUACGCUAAUACCGCAUACGACCUACGGGUGAAAGCAGGGGAUCUUCGGACCUUGCGCGAUUGAAUGAGCCGAUGUCGGAUUAGCUAGUUGGCGGGGUAAAGGCCCACCAAGGCGACGAUCCGUAGCUGGUCUGAGAGGAUGAUCAGCCAAACUGGAACUGAGGCACGGUCCAGACUCCUACGGGAGGCAGCAGUGGGGAAUAUUGGACAAUGGGCGCAAGCCUGAUCCAGCCAUACCGCGUGGGUGAAGAAGGCCUUCGGGUUGUAAAGCCCUUUUGUUGGGAAAGAAAAGCAGCAGGUUAAUACCCCGCUGUUCUGACGGUACCCAAAGAAUAAGCACCGGCUAACUUCGUG